rnacentral:lncRNA from 1 species
GGCGUGAGCCAUCAGGCCGAGCAUUCAUACUUACUUUUGAAUAAUGAGUUUCGGAAACUAUAGAGAUUUAGCUACAAAGUUAAUUCUCCCUCAACACUUUACAAAAUAUUGCACCAAUACCUUCAAUUGUUCGUUGUUGAUUAUAAGGAAUCUGUCGUGACACGUACUUCAGAAUUCACAAGGCAACAGGAAAAAAAAAGGUUCAUGAGGGAAGAAAACCAAGUGAAUAACCCAGGAAAGUUGGUGAACUGUGACAUGUGUUGGACUCAUGUGAACCAUGAAUAUGUAUUACAGGGCUAGUAAAUCAAACCCCCAAAAACUUUCUCCACCGAACUUCACCUGUAACCUCUACCAUUUAAAGGAAUUUCCAUUUCUGUGAGGUUCCCAAGAUUUGCUAAACCUACCAGCCUGAUUCUCUCUCUGCAUCAUGUGGCUGCUGCAGGAAACUGGUGAGGGAUGGUGUCGACAAUUCGAGACUGUUUUUUCCUACCCUCUUUAGUGCCUCUUUCCCUGAUGUGAUGUUAAAACCAGCUGAAAUUGUGGAGCAGAAAUUGUGGAGAAGAUAAAAGCCAUGUCCCCUAUGCCAUGUUUAAAUUACCUCGUCC